UACGUAGGUGGCAAGCGUUGUCCGGAUUUACUGGGCGUAAAGAGCGCGCAGGCGGUCGGAUAAGUCGAAUGUGAAAGCCCCUGGCUCAACCAGGGAGGGUCAUUCGAUACUGUUCGACUCGAAGGCAGGAGAGGGAAGUGGAAUUCCGGGUGUAGUGGUGAAAUGCGUAGAUAUCCGGAGGAACACCAGCGGCGAAGGCGGCAUCCUGGACUGGUCCUGACGCUGAGGAGCGAAAGCAUGGGGAGCGAACAGG
rnacentral:rRNA from 1 species